rnacentral:lncRNA from 1 species
UAUAACCCUUGUCCAUAUUUUGUAAAUCAGUUGUGUAUAUAUAUGAAAUUGGGAUGUGUGUUGAUUUGAUUUUAAAAAAUUAGUUUUCUUUAAAUUACUUGAUUAAGAGUAGAUUGGGUUUCAAGAUUCGAGUUAUAUGCUUGCUUCUAUGUAGGUGAAUAGGUGUCAAUUGAUGUUGAUUAUAACCCGUGAUUAUUAAUUGAGUUCGAUUAUAUGUGCUUAAUUGGUAUUUGAAUUGAUUUUGGUAAAAGAAAAUAGAUAAUCGAAAAGAUUAGGAGUGGUAGUGAAAUCUUUUGCUGUGAUACCACUGUUUGAUGUUAAUAGUUACCUGUCCUAGGAGUAUGUUUUUGGAAUGAAAUUUUGUGGAAAGAUACUUCCUGGAAUCUAGUGUCUACUCGCGAAAGAAUUAGAUUGAUUUAUUAAACGAGCUAAAAGAUAUGCAUGAUUUAGUGCGACGUGCGCUGAAAAUUCUGAGCAGGCUUAUGUGUCCUGUUCCACGCCCUAUUUUGCUACCUUAAAAUCGAGCUUUGCCUCUGAAAUUUUUAUUGGAGUUAGAUGUUAGUAUCUGGAACAUGUCAUUAAAAUUUUAUACAAACAGACCAAUUUUUCUAUUUAUUAAAAUUCUUAGCGUGGGGCUGGUUCUGCAGGACAGAUUCAUGUUCUUGGCUUGCAGGCUCUGUUUUACUCCCUUAAACAUAGAAUUUGGUUAUGAAAUUUUUAUAGUAGAUUGGAUUAAUG